rnacentral:rRNA from 1 species
UACGAAGGGGGCGAGCGUUGUUCGGAUUUACUGGGCGUAAAGGGCGCGCAGGCGGCUCAUUUUGUCAGGCGUGAAAGCCCCGGGCUUAACCUGGGAGGUGCGUUUGAUACGGAUGGGCUAGAGUUCGGGAGAGGAGAGUGGAAUUCCCAGUGUAGAGGUGAAAUUCGUAGAUAUUGGGAAGAACACCGGUGGGCGAAGGCGGCUCUCUGGACCGAGACUGACGCUGAGGCGCGAAAGCGUGGGGAGCAAACAGGG